rnacentral:rRNA from 1 species
CUAACAAGGAUUCCCCUAGUAACUGCGAGUGAAGCGGGAAAAGCUCAAAUUUAAAAUCUGGCAGUCUUUGGCUGUCCGAGUUGUAAUCUAGAGAAGUAUUAUCCGCGCUGGACCGUGUACAAGUCUCCUGGAAUGGGGCGUCAUAGAGGGUGAGAAUCCCGUCUUUGACACGGACUGCCAGGGCUUUGUGAUGUGCUCUCAAAGAGUCGAGUUGUUUGGGAAUGCAGCUCAAAAUGGGUGGUAAAUUCCAUCUAAAGCUAAAUAUUGGCGAGAGACCGAUAGCGAACAAGUACCGUGAGGGAAAGAUGAAAAGAACUUUGGAAAGAGAGUUAAACAGUACGUGAAAUUGCUGAAAGGGAAACGCUUGAAGUCAGUCAUGUUGGCCAGGGAUCAACCUUGCUUUUUUGCUUGGCUUACUUUCUGGUUGAUGGGUCAGCAUCAAUUUUGACUGGUGGAAAAAGUUCAAGGGAAUGUGGCAUCUUCGGAUGUGUUAUAGCCUUUGUUCGCAUACAUUGGUUGGGAUUGAGGAACUCAGCACGCCGCAAGGCCGGGUUUUUAACCACGUACGUGCUUAGGAUGCUGGCAUAAUGGCUUUAAUCGACCCGUCUUGAAACACGGACCAAGGAGUCUAACAUGCCUGCGAGUGUUUGGGUGAAAAACCCGAGCGCGUAAUGAAAGUGAAAGUUGAGAUCCCUGUCGUGGGGAGCAUUGACGCCCGGAUCUGACCUUUUGUGACGAUUCUGCGGUAGAGCAUGUAUGUUGGGACCCGAAAGAUGGUGAACUAUGCCUGAAUAGGGUGAAGCCAGAGGAAACUCUGGUGGAGGCUCGUAGCGAUUCUGACGUGCAAAUCGAUCGUCAAAUUUGGGUAUAGGGGCGAAA